CGGUGAUUGGCGCAGCCUGGUAGCGCACUUCGUUCGGGGACGAAGGGGUCGGAGGUUCGAAUCCUCUAUCACCGACCA
rnacentral:tRNA from 2 species